AGAGUUUGAUCCUGGCUCAGAUUGAACGCUGGCGGCAUGCCUAACACAUGCAAGUCGAACGGCAGCGCGAGUAGAGCUUGCUCUACUUGGCGGCGAGUGGCGGACGGGUGAGUAAUAUGUAGGAAUCUACCUUGAAGUGGGGGAUAACUUAGGGAAACUUAAGCUAAUACCGCAUAAUGUCUAAGGAAGAAAGCAGGGGAUCGUAAGACCUUGCGCUUUAGGGCUGAGCCUACAUCGGAUUAGCUAGUUGGUGGGGUAAAGGCCUACCAAGGCUAUGAUCCGUAGCUGGUCUGAGAGGAUGACCAGCCACACUGGGACUGAGACACGGCCCAGACUCCUACGGGAGGCAGCAGUGGGGAAUAUUGGACAAUGGGCGCAAGCCUGAUCCAGCAAUGCCGCGUGUGUGAAGAAGGCCUUAGGGUUGUAAAGCACUUUCAGUGGGGAGGAAGGAGUGUGUGCUAAUACCACAUGCUAUUGACGUUACCCACAGAAGAAGCACCGGCUAACUCUGUGCCAGCAGCCGCGGUAAUACAGAGGGUGCAAGCGUUAAUCGGAAUUACUGGGCGUAAAGGGUGUGUAGGUGGUUAUAUAAGUUAGAUGUGAAAUCCCCGGGCUCAACCUGGGGAACUGCGUUUAAGACUGUAUAACUAGAGUACUGUAGAGGAUAGUGGAAUNUCCAGUGUAGCGGUGAAAUGCGUAGAUAUUGGAAGGAAC
rnacentral:rRNA from 1 species